GGGCUGGAUUACCAUGAAGUGCUCCUAAUUUGCACAGAGAGAUAAGGAGCUCAUCAUAACUGAGAGAGGGGGACUGUUAUUUCCAAGCAGCUGCGGCAGGCUGGUCCUAGGCUUGCUCAGCCUGCAGUCUGGGCUCCUGCUGCUGAAGGGACAGAAGGCGGAUGUUGGGAAGAACUUCCUAAGGAAGCAUCAAGAGGGACCUGUGCGAUCCUAGCCUCAGGUGGCCUUUAGGGAGGGGCUCUGCCCAAAGUCCCCUUUCUGGGCCCUGAGCCCCAGUAGACCCUAGCUUUGGGAGGUUGACUGACCUGAUAGGGUGGGACAAGUUGCUGAACUUUCUCAGGCUUGGAUGGAGCUCAAGUGGGCAGCAGAGAGGUCUAGGGGACUUCAUUCUGGUGGGACAAGCUCCUGGCAUCUGAGCAAGGUGAGAGCGUCACAGACAUUGUCUUGAGGGCUUCUCAUAGCAGCUUUCAAGAAGCAGGAGUCAUCAGCCCCAUGCUGCGUAGAGGGAAACUGAGGCGCAGAGGGGGCCAUCUCGGGAGUGCUGAGUGCUGUCCCACAGGGCUGCGGGCUGGCUCCCAGGCUGCUGCCUGUGGCCACAGCUGCAGAACAGGAGGACUCUCAGGGCAGUCAGGGCCGGCUGCCCUCGGCUGCAGGAAAGACGGGGUCUUAGAGCCGAGAGAUUGUGCAGUAGGUGGGCUCACGGAGGCCACCUCCCUGCCUGUCAGUCCUGCUGCGCUGUGGGUGCUGCAGCGAGAGCAGAGUGGACAGCGGCUGCAGAGUGGAAAGAGCACUGGAUGGGAGCCUGGCCUCUGCCUGUUCCAUAAACAUUUAUCGAGCACCGUGCUAUUACCCCAUUCCAUCCCACAACAGCUCUGUGACGUGGACACUGUGCAUUUCAUUGAUUCUAAGAUACAGUCUUAGAAGCCGGAAGCGCGUGCUGAUCGGGGGCGGGGGGUGGGUUAUAAGGGCGAGCAUUUUUCUUUCUUCGUGGUCUAUGCCAACGGCAUGGUUUACACCAACGAAUAGUUCUGCGCGAUACAGAGCUCUGCCGACUUUGCAACUAAGGAAAUAAUCAUGAUGAGAAGACUGAGGCUGAAGAGGUGGCGCAGGGUCACACAGAGCAGGGAUCGGAACCACAUCCGGCUGACGCCAGCUCCCUGGGUUCUGGACCGCUUGGGAUGUCAGUGAGUCCACCUGCUCUGGCGAGGCCUGUGCUGGGCUCCGGAGAAGAGCCGUGAGCAGGGCAGAUGCGGUCCUGGCUCGCUCAGACCUUCGGCAAUCUGGCGUGGGUGAGUCCCCCCAUGUUUAUACCACAGAGAUCUCAGCCCUCAUGAUCGUCUGGAUUGUGGUGCAGAGUUUGAACUCACAUCUGCCAGACAGCUUUGGAACGUCUAUCAAGGGACGUGCGACAAUAUCCCAAGAACAAACAAUGGCGCAGAAGGCUUUCACGUUGCAAUGCGAACCUCAUUUGCAAACACGCAUCCUAGUUUUUGGAAACGGAUUUUUCUCUUAGGAAGGAAGAAAUUUUAGGGAGAAUCGAAGGCGUGUGACGCUGCACAGAACGAUGAACCCACAGGCAAAGAGACAUGUGCAAUACUCCGACCCAAAGGCUCCGAAGACAAGUGUGAAGGCAGGGCACAAGGUUGGUGUGUACAUGUAAGGUGGCACCAGAAGUCAUGGAUCCAUGUACAUCAACUGCCUCUCACCAAGAAGUGACAGAAGCCUCAAAACCCAAUAAAGCCAAAUCUCUGAGCAGGGGAGCCAUGGACAGGUGCAUCAAGGGGCUGAUGAUACAGCCUCAGGAUGUGUGACGGGAAGGCCAAUUAGCUUCUGGGGUAUCCGGCCCCAGAGAGGAGGCAGGAGUGUGUGGUGGGCAAGAAUGCAGACUUCAAGGUCAGAUAAAUUUUGGUUCUCAUCUGGACUCCUCUACUUACUCCCUGGGCGGCCCAGGCAAGCUUAGUGAUUUCUCUCAGCCUUGGUUUCCUCUUCCAUACAAUGGGAAUAAUAAUGUUAUUAGUUGUCUAUUGCUGCAUAACAAAUACCACUCCCCGCCCCCCCCCCCCCCAAUUUAGUAGCUGAAAACCAUAUAUAUUUAUUGUCUUGCAGAUUUGGGGGGUCAGGUAUCCAGGAGUGGCUUAGCUGAGUCCUCUGCUCGGGGUCUGUUACAGUCAAUGGGCUGCAGUUUCACGUCAAUGUCAUGGGCUGUAGUUUCAUCCGAAGGCUGUGCUGGGGAAGGGCCCACUUCCUAACCCAUGCGCAGGAUGCUGGCAGCGUUCGAUUCCUCCAGGGCUGUCAGACUGAGGGUCUCAGUUCCCCACUGGUGGUUGGCUGCAGGCUGCCCUCGGUUUCUUGCCACGUGGGCCUUUCCAGCUUGCUUCGUCACGAAUUGCCAGAGAGAGAGAGGGCAAAUGAAGUCACAGUCUUUUAUAACCCAGUCCCAGAAGCACGAGGCCGUCACCUUUGCCCUAUUCUGUUAUUAAUCAUGAGAAGCAACUCACCA